rnacentral:rRNA from 1 species
UACGUAGGCAGCGAGCGUUGUUCGGAGUUACUGGGCGUAAAGGGUGUGUAGGCGGUUUUCUAAGUUUGGUGUGAAAUCUCCCGGCUCAACCGGGAGGGUGCGCCGAAAACUGGGAGACUAGAGUGCGGGAUGGGAGAGUAGAAUUCCUGGUGUAGCGGUGAAAUGCGUAGAUAUCAGGAGGAAUACCGGUGGUGUAGACGGCUCUCUGGACCGCCACUGACGCUGAGACGCGAAAGCGUGGGGAGCGAACGGG